rnacentral:pre_miRNA from 1 species
AAACAGUCCCCUAUGUUUUGAUUCUUUAACAAUUUUGGACCCCCAAGGCAAAAAAAAAAAAUUGACAAGUGGCACCUCACUUUGGGUGCCACGUCAUCGUUGACCGAGUCAACAAUGGAUUGGGGUCCAAAAUUGGCAAAAAAAUCAAAACAUAGGGGGCUGUUU